GACGAACCGUGCGAACGUUGUUCGGAAUCACUGGGCUUAAAGGGCGCGUAGGCGGGCCUUCAAGUCCGGGGUGAAAGCCUCCAGCCUAACUGGAGAAGAGCCUCGGAGACUGAGGGCCUCGAGGGAGGUAGGGGCAAGCGGAACUAUGGGUGGAGCGGUGAAAUGCAUUGAUAUCCAUAGGAACUCCGGUGGCGAAGGCGGCUUGCUGGACCUCUUCUGACGCUGAGGCGCGAAAGCCAGGGGAGCAAACGGGAUUAGAAACCCCGGUAGU
rnacentral:rRNA from 1 species